CCCACAUGAUGAGCUGAUAGACCCAGAGCCUCUGGCACUGCUGACCUUCAUCUAUCACCCGACUCUGAUGGGA
ensembl:snoRNA SNORD83 Small nucleolar RNA SNORD83